AAUGCUCGAAUUUUAGAAAAUCAGCACGGCGGUGUUACGGCGGUAUUGGCCACACUGGAUGAAUGUAUUCCACCUUCCCAUUCAAAGCUUGCAGUGCUGUCCCCAGCUCUGCCUGACUGCUGAUGGGACCCUCACUCCCUGCUGAGAGCCCACCCCACUCCUGAGCAGCCCCGGGGCUGGUGAGCUCUGUUGGAGUGAUCCCCAGCCCCAGGCCCAGCUCCAGGGUCCCAGAGAAUCAGCAUACCAGGCCGGUGUUUCUCAAAGGAAAGGAUGACCCCUGCACCCCACAGAACCAGUAGGGACGUGCCUGGCUGUAUCCUAGAAGCCCCAGUUCAGCUCUUCACAGCCUCCACCAGUGUAGAAACAGACCUGACCAUCCCUGCACAAACUAGGGUGAAAACCAUAAAGGGAAAUGACUGCUUUGAAAGUCAGGCACAGGGAGCCCCCCAGGAAGGCGAGCAUGGCCCCCACAGCUCGGCGAAGCCCGUCCGAGAGGAACACGGACAGAGCGUCCUCGGCCACGCCUGCUGCCACAACCUCCCCACUGCCCAGGACUUGAAGAAAGACUGGCUCUAGCCUCAAGCCAUCCGCUUCCCUUUGCUUGGGGACAAGCUCGUCGGACCGAGCCGCUGGCUGCCACCACGGGCAGAUACGAGUGCUUUUCAUCAGUUCUGCUGGCACAAAGGCAGGGGCUGCAGAUUCGUGCUAAUUAAGAACUCUUAUCACUGUCCUCAUCUUCCCCAACGCAGCUCUCACCUGGAGAGACACACACCUGUCCACCCUCCUCCAGGCAGCCUGGGUUCAGGAGGGACGGGGAUGGUGGCUCCUGAAGGGGUGUCCUGGGAAACACGGAGGCUUUGUAAGCGAGUACUUCCUAGAAUCUGGUUGUGGUUGUCUGAAUAAACUAGAAGGUUGAAAUUUUAAAGAAAAAGGAUGAAUCCCCCAGGUAGCGCUGAGUUCUUACAGUGCGUGGCUUCUCCCCAAGCAGCCACUGGCUUCUGGCCCCGGUGACUGGGAGGCCAGGCCCGCUCUGCUGCACAUCUGUCUCACACACUACAAGUGCUGGACGUGUGCGGCACAGGUGUGAACGAAGCUCUCGGUCAACAGGACGCGCAGCACCCUGGCAGUACUUGCUUGCGACAGGAGCAGGGUUUCCACAGAUGCCCUAGCACGCAUGGCAUCUCAGAGGAGCUUUUACAAAGGUCUCCUACAGCAUGUUUCC
rnacentral:lncRNA from 1 species